UACGUAGGGUGCGAGCGUUGUCCGGAAUUAUUGGGCGUAAAGAGCUUGUAGGCGGUUUGUCGCGUCUGCUGUGAAAACCUAAGGCUCAACCUUGGGCUUGCAGUGGGUACGGGCAGACUAGAGUGCGGUAGGGGUGACUGGAAUUCCUGGUGUAGCGGUGGAAUGCGCAGAUAUCAGGAGGAAUACCGAUGGCGAAGGCAGGUCACUGGGCCGCAACUGACGCUGAGGAGCGAAAGCAUGGGGAGCGAACAGG
rnacentral:rRNA from 1 species